rnacentral:rRNA from 1 species
GUGACUGCGUACCUUUUGUAUAAUGGGUCAGCGACUUAUAUUCUGUAGCAAGGUUAACCGAAUAGGGGAGCCGAAGGGAAACCGAGUCUUAACUGGGCGUUAAGUUGCAGGGUAUAGACCCGAAACCCGGUGAUCUAGCCAUGGGCAGGUUGAAGGUUGGGUAACACUAACUGGAGGACCGAACCGACUAAUGUUGAAAAAUUAGCGGAUGACUUGUGGCUGGGGGUGAAAGGCCAAUCAAACCGGGAGAUAGCUGGUUCUCCCCGAAAGCUAUUUAGGUAGCGCCUCGUGAAUUCAUCUCCGGGGGUAGAGCACUGUUUCGGCAAGGGGGUCAUCCCGACUUACCAACCCGAUGCAAACUGCGAAUACCGGAGAAUGUUAUCACGGGAGACACACGGCGGGUGCUAACGUCCGUCGUGAAGAGGGAAACAACCCAGACCGCCAGCUAAGGUCCCAAAGUCAUGGUUAAGUGGGAAACGAUGUGGGAAGGCCCAGACAGCCAGGAUGUUGGCUUAGAAGCAGCCAUCAUUUAAAGAAAGCGUAAUAGCUCACUGGUCGAGUCGGCCUGCGCGGAAGAUGUAACGGGGCUAAACCAUGCACCGAAGCUGCGGCAGCGACACUGUGUGUUGUUGGGUAGGGGAGCGUUCUGUAAGCCUGUGAAGGUGUCUGUGAGGAUGCUGGAGGUAUCAGAAGUGCGAAUGCUGACAUAAGUAACGAUAAAGCGGGUGAAAAGCCCGCUCGCCGGAAGACCAAGGGUUCCUGUCCAACGUUAAUCGGGGCAGGGUGAGUCGACCCCUAAGGCGAGGCCGAAAGGCGUAGUCGAUGGGAAACAGGUUAAUAUUCCUGUACUUGGUGUUACUGCGAAGGGGGGACGGAGAAGGCUAUGUUGGCCGGGCGACGGUUGUCCCGGUUUAAGCGUGUAGGCUGGUUUUCCAGGCAAAUCCGGAAAAUCAAGGCUGAGGCGUGAUGACGAGGCACUACGGUGCUGAAGCAACAAAUGCCCUGCUUCCAGGAAAAGCCUCUAAGCAUCAGGUAACAUCAAAUCGUACCCCAAACCGACACAGGUGGUCAGGUAGAGAAUACCAAGGCGCUUGAGAGAACUCGGGUGAAGGAACUAGGCAAAAUGGUGCCGUAACUUCGGGAGAAGGCACGCUGAUAUGUAGGUGAAGUCCCUCGCGGAUGGAGCUGAAAUCAGUCGAAGAUACCAGCUGGCUGCAACUGUUUAUUAAAAACACAGCACUGUGCAAACACGAAAGUGGACGUAUACGGUGUGACGCCUGCCCGGUGCCGGAAGGUUAAUUGAUGGGGUCAGCGCAAGCGAAGCUCUUGAUCGAAGCCCCGGUAAACGGCGGCCGUAACUAUAACGGUCCUAAGGUAGCGAAAUUCCUUGUCGGGUAAGUUCCGACCUGCACGAAUGGCGUAAUGAUGGCCAGGCUGUCUCCACCCGAGACUCAGUGAAAUUGAACUCGCUGUGAAGAUGCAGUGUACCCGCGGCAAGACGGAAAGACCCCGUGAACCUUUACUAUAGCUUGACACUGAACAUUGAGCCUUGAUGUGUAGGAUAGGUGGGAGGCUUUGAAGUGUGGACGCCAGUCUGCAUGGAGCCGACCUUGAAAUACCACCCUUUAAUGUUUGAUGUUCUAACGUGGACCCGUGAUCCGGGUUGCGGACAGUGUCUGGUGGGUAGUUUGACUGGGGCGGUCUCCUCCUAAAGAGUAACGGAGGAGCACGAAGGUUGGCUAAUCCUGGUCGGACAUCAGGAGGUUAGUGCAAUGGCAUAAGCCAGCUUGACUGCGAGCGUGACGGCGCGAGCAGGUGCGAAAGCAGGUCAUAGUGAUCCGGUGGUUCUGAAUGGAAGGGCCAUCGCUCAACGGAUAAAAGGUACUCCGGGGAUAACAGGCUGAUACCGCCCAAGAGUUCAUAUCGACGGCGGUGUUUGGCACCUCGAUGUCGGCUCAUCACAUCCUGGGGCUGAAGUAGGUCCCAAGGGUAUGGCUGUUCGCCAUUUAAAGUGGUACGCGAGCUGGGUUUAGAACGUCGUGAGACAGUUCGGUCCCUAUCUGCCGUGGGCGCUGGAGAACUGAGGGGGGCUGCUCCUAGUACGAGAGGACCGGAGUGGACGCAUCACUGGUGUUCGGGUUGUCAUGCCAAUGGCACUGCCCGGUAGCUAAAUGCGGAAGAGAUAAGUGCUGAAAGCAUCUAAGCACGAAACUUGCCCCGAGAUGAGUUCUCCCUGACCCUUUAAGGGUCCUGAAGGAACGUUGAAGACGACGACGUUGAUAGGCCGGGUGUGUAAGCGCAGCGAUGCGUUGAGCUAACCGGUACUAAUGAACCGUGAGGCUUAACCU